UUUUCCAGCCGGACAGUAAAUACUGCCGUACUGGAAAGCGACAUCACUUCCGUAAUAAACACCACAGUUUCUAAGAAGACUACAAGGUAACGUAAUGCUCAACCCAGUGAUGACGGUUUGUGUUGUAUUGGAUGGGUAUGAUUUUACUAAACAGAAGUAGUAAAAUUGCAAUAAGUCAUACCACUGUAAUAACACUUGUAAAGCGGAUAAAUAACUGAAGUUGCCGGAGUGAACGUAUCAUCUGAGCUCAUCUGCUGCCUGGAUCGCACAGAGGAAAGUGCAUCCCCUGUGCUUCUCUGCUCAAAAUGAGCCGGGACAUUGCCAUCCACACCUGGCCUGGCUCCUAUUACAUUAAUAGCGAGAAGCGGUGGGAGAAUGGAACCCUGUCACUUACUAGAACCAUGGUGCGCUUCGUCUCCAACCAGAGUAAGGAGAGUCUAGCCAGCUUCCGUCUGUCCCGAAUCAUGGAGAUCAAGAUGGAGUCAUCUAGUUUCAUCUUCAGCACCCUCACAGUUCUUGAGGAGGGGAAUGUAAAGCACUGGUUUGGUUCCCUCAAGCCCAACAGGGUGGUGGUUUAUAAUGUGUUGGAGCAUUUCUGGAGGGAGCACCUUCUUUCUCCAACUUCAGAAGCUCGGGGUGCUGAAUGCCAGCCCUCCAAAGGUAGAGAGUUGAUCAACCUGGUGGCAGGAGCGCAGAGAAGACUGGAAGACACUGGCAGAGUGCUCAGUCACCAGGGAGAGCAGUUUGACAACAUGAUGCAAGGACUAGAGAAGAUUGACUCUGAUUUGGGUGUUGCUGAUAAACUUCUGUCAGAACUUGAGUCUCCCCCCUGGUGGCCUUUUGGCAAGCUUCCCUGGAAAAUUCAACAAGAGGCCAAGGCUGAAGAUGCUGCCAGAGCUGCAGCUGCAGCUGCUGCCUCAGCAGCCAGGGGGUCCAGUAGAAAUAAGGUGAUUGUAAGCAUCCCAGCUGUGGUGUCCAAAGGUGGAGACUCAGACUUGAAGCCUGGUUGCUUAGUGGUGCUGGUGUCCUCACUGGAAGUGCGAGACACAAAUUGCCAACUCCUUCACCGGUUUGAACGGAAUGAAGUUGAUGAAAUAAGGGUGCACAGUCCCUUUGAGAUUACAGUUAGACAGCGAUUUAUCGGGAAGCCAGAUAUCUGUUACAAGUUCCUGUCUGCUAAGAUGCCAGAGGCAAUGUCAGUGUUAGAGAUCCAGUACAAAAAGAAGGUCGAGUUCACAAGUGAAUACACAGCUUUCAAGGCAACUCCGCUUUCAUCUCCAUGUGACAAAGAAGGGACGAGCUUGAAUGAAGGUUUGCUGCAGAAGUGCCAAGAGACUGAGCUCCCAGUGGAGGUCGCAGCAGGAGAGCUGUCCCAGUUGCAGGUGCAAGUCCUCCAGCCAUCUGUCAGUCAGGCUGAAGCCCAGGAACUCAAGCAGAUGCUGAUGCAGCUGAAGAACCUUGCGCUGGAGGCAGAGACGGAGCUGGAAAGGCAGGAUGAAGUUCUGGAUGUCUUGACCAGCUCGACGGACCGAGCCACCAUGAACAUAGAGAAGAACACAUGCCGCAUGAAAAGGCUGCUGUAGUACUGACGGAUGAGAAGAUGUAUGUUUCUCUUAAGUAAAGCACUCCAUGCUUCACCAUGGCCCACAAUGAUUUGGUGGAGUUUGAGAACACAGAAAUACAUCAGAAUGAUUUGCCCAUAGAUUAUAGAAUUUAAUUGUACUUGAUAAAGUAACUGUAUGUCUUAAAGUGUCUGAUUUGUGGGCAGUACAGCAGUGUUUAUCAGUGCCCCUGAAUUUGCACAUUAGUAAUUAUAAAAUUUCAUUAGAAUUAAAUGACAACAAGCCUAGGGAGACUUGGGUUCGAUUAGAAAAAUUAGGUGACAUUUGACUUUACACAUCUGUGUAAUACUUAUACAAUAAAAUCUAAACCUUUUUCUAACCUCCAGACCACAUGGGAGAGAUCAGUCGAACAUCUUUGUAGAGUUGAAUAAGGCAAUGCAGAGAACAAGACAAAAAUAGAAAUAAAUAAUACACCUGUUAUUAUCUAAAAGAUAUCAUGAGUCCCUAAAUGAAAGAAAAACAUGUUUUGUGUGAUCACGUUGACAUCUGUGUCUAAUGUGCUGCCAUUUUCCUUUUCUGUUGGUCUCAGGUCAUAGCUGUUGCUUAUCCUCGCUUAUUAUUGCAUGUCAUUGUAUAACUGUAUAGCAUCCAGUGAAAAUGUCCUAUGAUAAUCAACAUAUAACCUAAGACUAUAAAUGUGCCGCCCAGUUCUGGGACUUUGUGAUGCAGAAUAGAGGCACUCCUCUUUAUUUAAAUACAGAUUAAAUACUUAAUCUACUGUAUGACUUGCUAAAGAUACAUACACUGUCCUAUUCUAAACCUGUGUUAAUUGUAAAUAACUGACACUAACUGUAAUUUUGUUAUUUUAUUGUUGUUUGUUAUCAGUGUGAACUUGUAAUUAGUCAAUCGCUCAUAUUACUUCUUUACAAGAUAGUCAAAAUAAGUGCAGGUGUAUAACUGAAAUCUAUAUGGAUGGUUUUGAAGAUUGCAAAUGUGUGAGUCAAGCCAUAAAUAAAAGUUGCAGGAAGAAAGGUCUUUAUCAAGAGGGUUUUACUCCAGGCUUAGUAAUUGUUUAUACACAUGAUGGUGACUAUUAACGCAGGAACUACUUCCUAAGAUGUUUCAUUUCUGAUUUACACCCAUGCAAGACACAACCAGGAAAACUUAGCUUGUGUAUUUCAUAUCAAAUGCAUGUUGAGUUCUAAAACGGAUCUACUUACAGAAUAAUAGCACACAUUAGCCCAAGGCUAUUACUUACUUUGCAGCCUUGUCCUACGUUUGUAAUACAUUUGUAACUCCAUAUCUGGUAUAUUAGCAUGUAUUUGCCACAAUGGAAGAGAGCCAAGAACUAAUCCAGAUUGUCUCUUCUUCAGCUGCUUUUAGAAGCUACAAGAGUGUGGUUAGUAUUUUUUGUUAUCUUGUGAGUGUAGUGUAACAGUACUGUACUGCAGUACUGUUACAAUCAACUGUAACAGGAUUAUAAGGUAAACAUUUUUCAACAUCACACAACUGAGAAAAACAAAGUUACUGAACAGAUUAUUGUUGUUGACUCCAAAACAAGGACCCAGUUUGGGUAUACAUGUGGGCAUUGCUGGUGAUUUUAGGAUGUGUUUCUGUCAUUAAAUUUAAAAUAAGCUAAUAUUUUCCAUGAAAUAGUAUAAUUUCUCAACAUCCGAUAUGAUUUUUUUAAAUGUUUUUUUUACCAAUAAAAUAUGUUUUAUGUGACUUGCAGUCAU